GAAUCUUGCACAAUGGAGGAAACUCUGAUGCAGCGACGCCGCGUGAGCGAAGAAGCCUUUCGGGGUGUAAAGCUCUUACGCCAGGGACGAUAAUGACGGUACCUGGAGAAGCAGCUGCGGCUAACUACGUGCCAGCAGCCGCGGUAAUACGUAGGCAGCAAGCGUUGUUCGGAAUUACUGGGCGUAAAGGGUGCGUAGGCGGCGCUCUAAGUUUGGUGUGAGAUCUCCCGGCUUAACUGGGAGGGUGCACUGAAAACUGGAGCGCUCGAGUAUGGGAGAGGAAAGCGGAAUUCCUGGUGUAGCGGUGAAAUGCGUAGAGAUCAGGAGGAACACCUGCGGUGUAGACGGCUUUCUGGACCAUAACUGACGCUGAGGCACGAAAGCGUGGGUAGCAAACAG
rnacentral:rRNA from 1 species